rnacentral:rRNA from 1 species
GAUGAACGCUAGCUACAGGCUUAACACAUGCAAGUCGAGGGACCGGCGCACGGGUGAGUAACACGUAUCCACCCGGCCCUUUGCUCGGGCAUAGCGUUUAGAAAGCUAGAUUAAUAUCCGCUAUAAAGGCUGGGGAUGCGUUGUUUUAGGUUGUUGUUGAGGUAACGGCCCACCAAGCCUUCGAUGGAUAGGGGUUCUGCGAGGAAGGUCCCCCACAUUGGAACUGAGACACGGUCCAAACUCCUACGGGAGGCAGCAGUGAGGAAUAUUAGUCAAUGGGCGCUAGCCUGAACCAGCCAAGUAGCGUGAAGGAUGAAGGCUUAUGGGUCGUAAACUUCUUUUAUAUAAGAAUAUGUAUUAUAUGAAUAAGGAUCGGCUAACUCCGUGCCAGCAGCCGCGGUAAUAC